rnacentral:tRNA from 1 species
GGCAGGAAAGAGUCAGUGGUAGGCUCAUCAGGCUCAUAAUCUGAGAUUUGUAGGUUCAACUCCUGCUCCUGCUC